UUGUCGGAAGGUUCCGAUCAGCCGACAGGUGAGAUGGUGGUCCCCGGUCUGGACCGUUCCGCCACUCCUUCUUCCGGUCCCAGCUCUUCUCGGGGAUCACCGACCACCUGUUGGCCCAAGAGCCCGUCGGAGGUCUUCCCCUUUACCCUCUUCGAUCACUUCAAACUACCUGGUGACGAUGACCGGUUUAAAGGGUACUCUCCCGAUCAGUUCUUGGUGGCCUAUGUUCGAGCUCAGACCCAGGUAAUUCCCUUUGUCAAUCUGAUUGCUGCUCUUAACUUUGACCUUUCCUUCUUGUACUGAUGUAUGUGUUUACUGCAGGCCAACGCUAUACUUGCCCGAGCCAUCCCUCCCCUCGCCCGAUCCACAAAGAAAGAAGUUCAGCUUGGGACGGAGGUGGAGUUGCUGGAGGCUGAAGUUCGGGGUCUGCAGUCGGACCUGAAGAAGGAACGGGAUUCUCAUGCUGAGACCCGACGCCAGGCGGCCCGAGCGGAGGGCCGGGUCGAAGAGCUGGAGCAUGAGCACAGUGCUCUUCUGGCAGAGAGGGGUCGUCUGCUCCAAGAUGUCAAGGAUCGGGAGAACGCUAUUGACAGUAUUACACACAAGUUCUCCGAGAUGCACGACAAGAUGAUGUUUUUGAUCAAGGAGAACAACAACUUGACUGCUACUGUCAACGCCUUUCCCGAGAAGAUAAUCGAAGCCAGUCAGCAAGCCAUCGCCGAGUAUGAGGAAUCUGAAGCCUUGAACGAUAAGGUCAUAGCCCAAUUUGGUGAAGGGUAUGAGACUCAUCGGGAAAAGGCUAAGGCAAAGUUGAUGGCUGCUGGGCUUGAUGUCUCCAUCCUUGACUCUUCGGAUGACGAGUCUGACGCUGAAGAUGACCCUCCUGCCGAGUAGAUAUGUAGGAUUUGUAAUAAAGAAAAUUUUCUUUCUUCUCUUUUUCUUUUGUACUUAGCCCGAAUCGUAAGCGACCGGGUUUGUAAAGUAGAAAUUUUCUAAGUAUAAAUAAGAUAUACUCUUUGCCCAUGAAUGCUUAUUGUCAGUUUCACUUAUGACUGAUCUCGAUCAGUUAUGUCCACCCGAACCUUCUGGUCGGAUCGUCCUUAGGGUUUAUCUGAUUUUAGAGGGUCAACAGUUAUACCCGAGACUUAUCUCGAUCAGUGGUGUCUGCCCGAACCUCUUGAUCGGAUAGUGCUCGAGAUCUGUACUUUAAGCAUUUAUUAAACUCUUGGUCAGUUAUGCUCGGGACUUAUCUCGAUCAUGGAGUUUUUCCGAAGCUCUUGAUCGGAUAGUGCCCGAAGCAUGUCUGUUCAAGUAGUAACGAAAUAUAUGAAUAUAGAUGAAGUUAAACAUUGACAGGAAUGGGAACUUUCAUUUAUAUCAUUUGAAUUGAAACGAUUACAUGGAUAAAAACAAGAACGACAUAACUAUUACUGGUAAAAUUUUCUAAGUCUUCCAGCAUGCCAUGUAUUCUUUACCUCCGAACCGUCCAUUGCUCGAAGCCGGUAGGUUCCUGGCUUCGGCACUCCUACCACCUCAUAAGGCCCCUCCCAGUUGGGCAUUAGCUUGCCAGUGUUCUGGGGGGUUGAUGCCUCCGACUCCCGGAGGACCAAAUCUCCUAUUGCAAACCUCCUUGUCUUCACCUUCUGAUUAUAGUGUCGGGCUGUUCGCUGCUGAUAGAUCGCCAACCUCAUCAUGGCGGAAUCCCGAACUUCAUCUAACAAAUCUAAAUUUGUUCUCAAACCCUCGUCAUUAUAUAGCUCUUUGUAUUGGCUGACUCGAAGAGUUGGAGAUCCGAUCUCAACAGGAAUGAGUGCAUCGGUCCCGUAUGCCAACCUGAAUGGGGAGUCUCCAGUUGUAGUCCUUGGGGUAGUUCGAUACGCCCACAAAACAGAUAGCAGUUCUUCGGGCCACCGACCCUUUAAUGCAUCUAAUCUGCGUUUAAUCCCAUUGAGUAGGGUUCGAUUGGUCACUUCCACUUGGCCGUUUGACUGAGGAUGGGCAACCGAAGUCUUGCGAUGCUGGAUCCCUAAUUCUUUCAAAAAGCCUUCAAACUUAGAUCCCACAAACUGUCUGCCAUUGUCCGAGACCACUGCCAUCGGGAUACCGAACCGGUAGACUACCCCUUCUUUAAAAAACUUCAAACACUCCUGUUCGGUGAUCUUUUGCAGUGGUUUGGCUUCGACCCACUUCGUCAUGUAAUCAAUAGCCACGAUCACAAAGCUAACUUGUCCCUUAGCUUUUGGCAGAGGCCCCAGAAUGUCGAUUCCCCACACAGCAAAGGGGAUCGGGGACAAGACGGAAUAUAGUUCCUCGGGGGGUUGGUGCGGGAUAUUGCUGUUCAGCUGGCACUUGGGACACCUCCUAACGAAUUCCUUUGCUUCAGUGUAGAUAGUUGGCCAGUAAUACCCCUGCCUCAAAAUCUUAUGCGCCAGUGACUUUGCUCCCAUGUGAUCCCCACAGAUUCCCUCAUGCAUCUCCCGAAGCGUGUAGUCUGCCUCUGAAGGAGUCAAGCAUUUGAGCAGUGGAGAGCUAAAGGCCCUUCGGUAUAGAUCUCCAUCUAUGAGGGUGAAGUUCGAACUUCGGUGUUUGACUUGCCUGGCUAGGAUUCGGUCCGAAGGGAGGGUCCCAUCGGCCAAGUAUGAGAUAUAAGGUGUGAGCCAGCAAUUGAGCCGGUCCAAAGCCAAGAUUUCUGUCUUUGGGACACUGGGUUUUUCCAGAACCUCCAAGUACACUGAUCCAUUGAAAGAGCUUGCUUCAGUUGUUGCCAGCCUUGCCAAGGCAUCUGCUAUCGUAUUCUCUGACCGGUCCACCCCCUGACAACAGUAUGAAGUAAAGUACAUAAGCUUAUCCUUUAGCUCAGCCAAAUAUCUGGUCAUCCUUGCCCCCCGGGCUUCGUAUUCGCCCGAUAACUGCUUGACCACCAGCUGUGAAUCACUGUAGAUGAUCAACCGCUGGACCUCUAGGCUUCGGGCCAGUCGUAUCCCUGCUAAGAUGGCCUCAUACUCUGCUUCGUUGUUUGUGGCCUUGAACCCAAACCGAAUAGCUUGCUGCACCUUGAACCCUUCGGGACUUGUUAGGAUGACCCCUGCUCCACUGACAUCCACAGUUGCUGAUCCGUCCACGUAUAGAGUCCACGAGGUCUGGAUUGGUUGUGUUUCGGCUACUAUAUUCGCCUCCGGUUCGGUGAAAGAACACUCAACCACGAAGUCAGCCAAUGUCUGCCCUUUGAUUGCCGUUCGGGGACGAUAUUCUAUAACAAAUUGUGUCAAUUCCAUUGCCCAAGCGGCUAGCCGACCUGAUACUUCGGGCUUGUGCAAAAUCUUCUUCAAAGGUUGGUCGGUGUAGACCACUAUCAACCGACCCUGGAAAUAGUGCCUGAGUUUCCUGCUAGCAAUUAUGAGGGCAUAAGCGAAUUUUUCUAGGUUCGGGUAUCUCGUUUCUGCGUCUCAGAGAACAUGGCUGACAUAGUACACUGGGAAUUGCUUAUCUCCCUCAUCCCUUACUAGUGCCGCCCCUACUGCCAUUGGGCUCGCAGCCAAGUAUAAGUAUAAAGGUUCGGUGGGGAUCGGUUUCAUUAAUAAUGGUGCCGAACCCAAAUAUCUUUUGAUCUCCUGGAACGCGUCUUCACAUUCUGAAGUCCACUGGAAACUCUUGUCGUUUUUCGGGCCUUUGAGGGUGUCAAAAAGGGUAGACAUCUCUCAGCUGACCUUGACAUGAAUCUCCGAAGGGCAAAAAUUCGGCCCGUCAUCCGUUGGACAUCUUUAUAUGUCUUUGGAGAUUUCAUGUCUAAGAUCGCCGAGAUUUUUUCUGGAUUGACCUCGAUUCCCCGUUNNNNNNNNNNNNNNNNNNNNNNNNNNNNNNNNNNNNNNNNNNNNNNNNNNNNNNNNNNNNNNNNNNNNNNNNNNNNNNNNNNNNNNNNNNNNNNNNNNNNNNNNNNNNNNNNNNNNNNNNNNNNNNNNNNNNNNNNNNNNNNNNNNNNNNNNNNNNNNNNNNNNNNNNNNNNNNNNNNNNNNNNNNNNNNNNNNNNNNNNNNNNNNNNNNNNNNNNNNNNNNNNNNNNNNNNNNNNNNNNNNNNNNNNNNNNNNNNNNNNNNNNNNNNNNNNNNNNNNNNNNNNNNNNNNNNNNNNNNNNNNNNNNNNNNNNNNNNNNNNNNNNNNNNNNNNNNNNNNNNNNNNNNNNNNNNNNNNNNNNNNNNNNNNNNNNNNNAAUGUAUUAAUAAAGUUGUAGUUAUUCUGUACCAUGUAUUUGGCGACUCAGAAUGGGUUGGAUGGAAUGGACCUAUUUUGGGGGCGUCACAUUAACACUAUUAAUUAGAUGGUUGUUCAUAAUGGUGCUGGGGGUUUGGUCCUUCUGGUGCAGCUCUAUCGGUAAUUAGUGAUCUCCUUCGGUAGUUCUCAAGUGACGAGGGAUCAAACCCUAAUUUAAACAAGAAAAGUUGGCUAUCAAAAUUCUUCUCGAUGGAUGGAACACCACCAUAGUGAAAAAUGCGUGCUUCAGAAGUGACAAAAAAGUGAGGAAGAUAAUGAUGAGAAUGACUAGCGGAAUCCGCUCAGCUGUUGAAUUAGCCAUGCGAUAGAGAUAUAUAGAUCGAGGUUUAAUUACACAAGGGUUCAAUGGAAAGUAGUUGAGAAUAGCAAUAGCAAUAGCUUGAGAGUAUAUAUAGAUUAUAAUGAUAACCUAGCUAUAUAUACAUAUAUAUAUAUAUAUAUAUAUAUAUUCUUGCUAUUUAUAGGGCUAAAUUUGAAGAAAGUGAGGCCUCUAGUAGUGGAGUGAACAUGUAAUUUAGUAUUUUUUAGUUUAAAUAAACAGACAAAAGCUUCCAACAAGGAUUAUUAUUGUCUUUCUCCAUAAAAGAAUUUCUCAGUGUCUGUUGGGUCAUGAUAUUUCUCCUAUUUUGGGCCGGCUAAAUUGGGCUCACUUAUUAAUUUAAUCCGUUGGGCUUUUAUAUUUAAGCCAUGGGGCUCGUUCGGCCUAGUCAUUGUGUUAACUUUAUUUAAUCCUAUAGUACCGGGUCGAUUCGUUGGAUUAACCCAUUGGGUCACUUAAUAUCUAUUACUUUGACUUGUAAUGAUGAUAUAGUAUGACAGUUGACCAAGAUAUCUGUCAUGCAUUAAUGUGGAUGGGAUUAUAGUCGGCCGGCGGUGUGAACAGUGGCCAAAAGCAGUGGAUAAGUUCCAUGCAGUCGGCAGAACCCAUCAGAUCAGGGGGAUAUGUCAGAUGGUAGUAGGUGGCACAGUAAUCCAGACAAAGAUAUUAUUUUUUGGCGAGUAAGUCUUCACAAGGAGGUACGUUUUUGAUAUAUAUACAUUCACACAACUGAUAAUAAAGGAUCUAUCUCAUCACACUAGAUUUUAUCAUCCUCUUGAGUUAACCUUGUGAACAGACAUACUUACUCUUACGCCUGAGCUAUCCCCCGGCGGUCCGGCCGUCAAGCUUGUGGUGUUUGUCGUGUUUACUGUGCAGGAUCAGGACGUCUUUCGUGAUUGGGACGUGGAGAAAGAUCCUGGCGUUAACAAUGUCUUUAAUUUAUGUGUCCCCGAUCCAGUCCUUCGCCCUCUCCCUCUCUAUAUUGGUGGAGUUUAUUUUUUUGAUGGGUAAAAUAGAAUUUAUAUUAAAAUCCAAAGUAAUACAUAUGUGGCAAAUUCAAAAGAUAUGAAUAAGGCCACAAUUAGAGUUGUAUUACAAUAAGAUCAUAUUUAUUUGCAAGAAUUAUAAUUAUGUGGGAAUAUAUUUUCUCCACGACACAUAUUUAUUUUUUAUGAGAUUAUUUAAAAUACUCAGAGUAGUUCCUGAGAUUUUAGUGGCCCAGAGAAUAAAAUAAAAACGAGACAAUUUUCGAAACAUUGUCUUCACUAAUUAAAAAAUAAAGGAAAAUAUAAAUAAAUAAAAAAUACAAGUUGUAUCUAAAAAAAAUGUAUUUUCGGAGCUUAAAACAUAAUAGUUCGACCACAACAAAAUAUAUGAGAAUACAUUCAUUGAAAGAUAUUUCUUCUAAUAUUUCUAGAGCCAAAAACUUCAAUCAAAUGUUCAAAAUCCUUUAUAUAUAUAUAUAUAUAUAUGUAUAUAUAUAUAAUUAAUUGGGACCCCUCUGAUCGGGGGCCCAGGGCGGUCAACCCUCUCGUCCGUCCUUAGAAAUGGCUCUGAAAAUAGUCUCACCUUAUAUUUGUUUUUUUUUAAAAUUAUUUAAAGAAUUAAAUAAAAGCUUAUCGUUUAGACUAUCAUAGUACUCUUCCUACUAAUAACAAAUUUAAAAUGCAAUUAGGUAAUUAAAUUAAUUAAAAAAAUGUAAUUGAGCGAUUAUGUUAAAUAUAGUUAAACUUGCGUCUAAAUUAGCAGGAAAAAAUAAAAGUUAUAAAGACAAUGAAGUGGCUAGCUUAUCCGGCUGGUUUUAGAGGCUAUGAAAUAUAGCAGCCACGUAAGUGCAAAGGAAAAAAUUUGCAUUUAUCUGAAGGAAAAAAAAAUGCAUCGUCCAAGCAUGAGAAAAUUUACUAAUAGAAUUUUUUUUUUACCAAUAUAAAUAUUAUAUUUUCUCACUAAUUUAAGUAUAGAUAGAUAGAAAUAGAUAGAUCAGUUUUUUUAAACAAAGUUAAAAGUUAAUUUUGUCCAUAAAUUUCUAGUCCCAAAUAAUAGGGAUUAUAUAUAAUACCUAGUUGAACAUGGUAUUAAAUAGUCUCCCCUUUCAAGUUAUUUUAUUAUCUCGAAAUUAAUAAUUUUAAGUCUAUUUUUAAAAACAAACAAAAGACUUAAAAUUAAUAGUCUAAUCUUAGUCUAAGAGAAUAAAAAACUUAAACUAUUUGGUGGAGUUGCUUAGUCAUGCUUGUCUUUAUUCAAGAAACUUAACUAAUAAAACACUAAAAUAAAUAAAUUUGACUACUAGCCUUUAUUCAAGAUAAUUAACCAAUAAAACUCCGGGAGAAAAAACAUAGUGUUAACGCCAAGUUUCGCCGGCGCGUCCAAUCAUAGAAUCCACGAGCUAGAACCUGCACAGUAACGGAUCACACAGAAACUUGAUGGCUUGUGCCGCCGGGGGAUAGCUCCGGUGUGAGAAUGAGUACAGACCGUUGCAAGGUUUAACAAUGGAGGAUAAGUAUUUAGUGCUUAAAAUAGGUAUUACCUCAUAAUGAUAACCUAGGUCUCAUAUUUAUAGUACUCACCACCUUAGAAUCCUUCUCCCAGUCGGAUUAGGACUCCUAGUGUAUGGUAGUUACCAUAACUUGGGUCCAACACAAUCUCCUUAAAAGGUGCAAGUAGAGUCCAAUCUCAUUACCACCUUUGGAGUUGCCUUAUAUGCAUACGAAUAGGUACCCGGACUCUGCACGCAGGAGAGCCCACUGUGCAGGCCCAAACGGUCCUAUAAUCUAAUCUGGGCUUCGGCCCAAAGAACUCAAAGACCCGACCCCGAACAUCACAAGACCGGGUUCAGCUAUGGUCCCGGAGGGCUCAAAUGCCGACCCGAACACCUCCAACACUUUCAUGGGCUUCGGCCCAUCGGUCUUUCUGGCCCUUCUGGUGUUGAAUCUUCGGCCCAAAGGAGGGUCGGUAAAACGCUCCCGAACAUUGCCCCCAGUCUCUAAUCAUAACAUAUUUAUGAUUGGAGACUUGAAAGGUCAGGACUUGAACGGUCAUGACAGCUAAUGAUGAACUGUCUGUGGAAGCCGUACAGUCACUUCUUGGUAUUUGAAACGUUGCACGCCUUUUCACGCCUGGGCCCACCUCCAAUAUUUAAUAGCCGCCUUGGGGUUCCGUGCCGUACUCCUUAUAAAAACUCCCCUUCCCCCCUCAUUAUCACUUUUACUGACUCUUUGCUUUCAAAUUCUCCGGCAAGGCGAUUUCCGGCAAGCUUAUCUCUUACCCAAUCUGCACCAUUUUCCUCCCCUGUACUGUCACUUGAGUGUUAUUUUUGCUUAUCUCCCUUCCAUAACUUCUUAUUUGCAUCACACUAUUUCUAAAUGGCCAAAUCUAGUAAUAUUCCGGCCACUGAGCCUAUCACCACUACCUCCGUCGUCACCACCGGCGACCUUCUAGAGGUCGUACUGCAGGAUGCCCCUGCCGACGACACUCCUUCGACCCUGCCUAGUCCGGUAGACGCCGAGGCUAGGAUUCGAAAUGCAUACUGUUCCUCGAAGGAGUUUUCUCACCUUCAUACUCCUUCCACCAUCACCCCCUCACAGAUUUCUGACAUCCGGUCCCUUUUUAAGAUCCCUGAAGAAUACCAACUUCGGGUGCCUAUGCCCGAUGAGAAGAUGUUUUGGCGUCCCGAGGGCGAGUGGGUGGCCGUCCCCCUGUACGUUCUAAAGUACGGGGUUCGGUUCCCACUUCACGAUUUCAUUUCCUCUUUCUUGAGCUUUGUGGGAGUCGGGUUCGCGCAGCUCGUGCCGAACGCGUACAUCCACUUAAUCUCUUUCAUAGCCGUCUGCCAGGAGGUGGGCCUCAAUCCCGGGCUUGAUCUAUUCUUUGCCCUGUUCACCGUUAGCGGUUCGAAAGAGCCCGGUCUUCGGCAACUCAACAAACGCCCCAACCGCACCGUCCCGAUUAAGACCCCUUCAAGCAACAAGGGGUGGCAUGAACAGUGGUUUUUUGCCAAGGGGACCGACCUCCAACUCCUUCCCCCCUGGGCCCAUCCAGCCGAUCAGGCGGCUAAGAUUUCGAAGUUCCCGAAGGGCCGAGCCGAUGCCUUCAAAACGUUUUACAAGCAAUGGCAAAGGACCCAAUGGAAUCUGGGGCUUCUGAUGAACGAAGCCUGGUUGUACAAACAUGGCUGUGAGAAUUUUUCUGUUUUUCAUUAUUUCUCCUCCUAUUUUCUGAAGCUUUCCAUGCCUUAACCCAUUUGUCCCUGUGUAGUGACAAUUUUCAAGCCCGAGGGCAUUGUCGACGCCUUCAUUCCUGCCACCGUCACCCCCGGGUUCAUCCGACCCACGGUGACCGACGAUGUUCCUGAGGAGGAUACGGUCCCGAUCAGCGAACUGUCACUGGGGUCCACUUCGGGGCCCGAGCCCCCAACCACACAAAGGGGGGCGCUGAAGAUGAGCCGCGCAGAGAAGGCGGCUUUACUAAAAAAGUCCAAGAAGCCCUCCAAACCGACCAUUAAAGCGCCUACAAAAGUCACUCCGCCUUCGCUGCCGAAGCUGACUCUCCCGCCGCCCCCUCCGUCAAUCGAGGAGAUCGAGGAUUCGGAGGACACCGAAGAGGUUCUUCCUGAACCUCGAUCAAAGAGACCUCGGUUGUCGGAAGGUUCCGAUCAGCCGACAGGUGAGAUGGUGGUCCCCGGUCUGGACCGCUCCGCCACUCCUUCUUCCGGUCCCAGCUCUUCUCGGGGAUCACCGACCACCUGUUGGCCCAAGAGCCCGUCGGAGGUCUUCCCCUUUACCCUAUUCGAUCACUUCAAACUACCUGGUGACGAUGACUGGUUUAAAGGGUACUCUCCCGAUCAGUUCUUGGUGGCCUAUGUUCGAGCUCAGACCCAGGUAAUUCCCUUUGUCAAUCUGAUUGCUGCUCUUAACUUUGACCUUUCUUUCUUGUACUGAUGUGUGUGUUUACUGCAGGCCAACGCUAUACUUGCCCGAGCCAUCCCUCCCCUCGCCCGAUCCACAAAGAAAGAAGUUCAGCUUGGGACGGAGGUGGAGUUGCUGGAGGCUGAAGUACGGGGUCUGCAGU
rnacentral:lncRNA from 1 species